CGUGUAGGCGGUAAUGUAAGUCAGACGUGAAAUCCUUUGGCUCAACUGAAGAACUGCGUCUGAAACUGCAUGACUAGAGUGCAGAAGAGGGAAACGGAAUUCCAGGUGUAGAGGUGAAAUUCGUAGAUAUCUGGAGGAACACCGGUGGCGAAGGCGGUUUCCUGGUCUGACACCGACGCUGAGGCGCGAAAGCGUGGGGAGCAAACAGGAUUAGAUACCCUGGUAGUCCACGCCGUAAACGGUGGGUACUGGGUGUGGGAGGUGUAAUGCCUUCUGUGCCGAAGCUAACGCGUUAAGUACCCCGCCUGGGGAGUACGGCCGCAAGGUUGAA
rnacentral:rRNA from 1 species